UGGGGAAUAUUGGACAAUGGGCGCAAGCCUGAUCCAGCGACGCCGCGUGGGUGAAGAAGGCCUGCGGGUUGUAAAGCCCUUUCGGUUGGGAAGAAAAGUAUGGGCCUAAUACGCUCGUACCAUGACGUAACCAACAAAAGAAGCACCGGCUAACUCUGUGCCAGCAGCCGCGGUAAUACAGAGGGUGCAAGCGUUAAUCGGAAUUACUGGGCGUAAAGCGCGCGUAGGCGGCUUGACAAGUUGAGUGUGAAAUCCCCGGGCUUAACCUGGGACCUGCAUUCAAAACUGUCUUGCUAGAGUAUGGGAGAGGGAAGUGGAAUUUCAGGUGUAGCGGUGAAAUGCGUAGAUAUCUGAAGGAACAUCAGUGGCGAAAGCGACUUCCUGGACCAAUACUGACGCUCAGGUGCGAAAGCGUGGGGAGCAAACAG
rnacentral:rRNA from 1 species